rnacentral:rRNA from 1 species
UACGUAGGGGGCAAGCGUUGUUCGGAAUUACUGGGCGUAAAGGGCGCGUAGGCGGCACGGCAAGUCAGGAGUGAAAGCCCUGGGCUCAACCCGGGAACUGCUUUUGAAACUGCCGAGCUAGAGUGCGGAAGGGGCAACUGGAAUUCCCAGUGUAGCGGUGAAAUGCGUAGAUAUUGGGAGGAACACCAGUGGCGAAGGCGACUACCUGGCCUGUUCUUGACGCUGAGGCGCGAAAGCUAGGGGAGCAAACGGG